GGAGGAGCAGAAGGUUCUGACCCGGCAGCUGGAGGAGGAGAGGCGGGGCCAGGAGGCCAGGCUCCGCCCACAGGACACCUGAGCCAGGCGAUGGACGGUGGCGGCGCGGCAGAGGGGCUGGAGGAGGGAGAGGUGGAGGGGGAGACGCUGCUGAUCGUGGAGUCGGAGGACCAGGAGGACCUGUCACAUGACCAGAGCGGAGACUCGCUGACCAGCGACCUGGGCGAGGACGCGGACGGCGGCUGGGCCUGCGAGGACAUGUCCUUCUACUGCGACCGCUGCCACAAGUGGGUCCCUGCAGGUCAGCUCCGCGGUGACCAGCCCAGUUACUUGAAGGGAGACAACUUCUUCAAGUUCCUGUGCUGCAACUGUUCUGAGGACGGCAAGGAGAGCUUCGAGAGGCUGAGGCUCACCUGGCAGCAGGUGGUGAUGCUGGCCAUGUACAACCUGUCUCUGGAGGGAACGGGGCGGCAGGGCUACUUCAGGUGGAAGGAGGACAUCUGCGCCUUCAUUGGUCGACACUGGAACUUCCUGCUGGGGAACAGGAAGAAGACGUCUACCUGGUGGAGCACGGUGGCCGGCUGCCUGUCCGUCGGAAGCCCCGCCUUCUUCCGGUCCGGAGCGCAGGAGUUCGGCGAGCCGGGUUGGUGGAAGCUGGUCCAGAACCGCCCCCCCACGCUGAGGCCGGACGGCGACAAGUCCAGCACCAAGACCAAAGCGACCCGGCCGCCCCUGGACCCCAUCAUCACGGUGGAGGGCCUGCGGAAGCGCGGCGCCAGGAACCCGGUGGAGAACGCCAUGCAACUGAAGGAGAAGCGCAGCCGCACACAGGAGGCCAAAGACAUCCGGCGCGCCCAGAAGGAGGCGGCGGGCGGAGGCUACGCCGACCGGAGCGCCUCCUCCACGCCCGUCAAGCUGGGUGUGAGCCGCAGCAGCGCUCGCCGCCAGGACCUGGUGCUGGAGCGAGGUGAGGUCGUCGACUUCUCGUCACUCAGCUCGUCGGACCGGACGCCGCUCACCAGCCCCUCGCCCUCACCGUCACCGGACUUCUCCGGGCCGGGGACUCCGGCCUCCCACUCGGCCACGCCCAGCCUGCUGUCGGAGGCCGACCUGAUACCGGAUGCCAUGCCGCCGCAGGCGCUGUUCCACGAUGACGAAGAGCUGGAGACGGAGGGGAUGAUCGACCCGGGGAUGGAGUACCUACCCCCACCCAGCGCCAGCCGGAAGAAGCUCCGCCCUCCGCAGACUCUGAUCAAGCGGGAAUCUGAGAGUGAGGAAGACAACGCCCAUGAAGAGCGCUUUGAGCACCCGGCGAGCUGUGGUGAAGCUCCGCCUCCUGAGAGGCGGGUGGCAGAGCGUCGCAGGAUGAACCUUCAGGACAAACCGGACGGCGCCUCGCCGCGGCCCGUUGUCUCCGCCCUCAGUCUGUACGAAGAGCGGCUGCUGCUGAGGCGGCUGGACGGCUGCCCGCUGGCGCUCGCCGUCACGCCACAUGCCAAGCGCCUCCGCAGGAAGCUGCUGGUCCGCCAUGCCAAGCGUCAGAGAGGGCUCCCCCUGCUGGACAUCGACCGCGCCGUCAGCGCCGCGCUCAGCCUGGUGGGAGGGAUCUAUGGCACGCAGGAGGCGGAGCCACGGCCUGUGGGCGGGGCUAAGGGGAAGUACUGCACCAGCAGCCAGGAGCAGCGGAUUCUGGACCGCUUCCAGACCAGCGUGUCCAGCCGGCUGGGCGUCCAGCAGCGCUCCGUGUCUUUCUGGCACCGCCUGAUGGGAGCCGAGGGCGGUCUGGACCAGAACAUCAAGAGUCCGUACACGGCCCGGAUCCUGAAGCCCUUCAUCAGGAGGGACUUUGAGUCCCGCCCCCUGAAGCUCCGCCUCCUGGCUGAGAUCCGGGCGUUUCCUCACAGGACAGAUCCGGACUGGACCCCAGAACCCGACGCUCCCAUCGACUACUGCUACGUCCGGCCCAACCACAUCCCCUCGGUCAACGCCAUGUGCCAUGACAGCUUCUGGCCAGGUGUGGACCUGUCCGAGUGCCUGCAGUACCCGGACUUCAGCGUGGUGGCGCUCUACAGGAAGGUGGUGGUGGGCUUCGGGUUCAUGGUUCCGGACGUGAAGUACAGCGAGGCGUACAUCUCCUUCCUGCUGGUUCACCCGGAGUGGAGGCGCGCCGGCAUCGGGACCUUCAUGAUCUACCACCUGAUCCAGACCUGCAUGGGGAAGGACGUGACGCUCCACGUGUCGGCCAGCAACCCGGCCAUGCUGCUGUACCAGAAGUUCGGCUUCAAGGCCGAGGAGUACAUCCUGGACUUCUACGAUAAAUAUUACCCAGUGGACAGCAGCGAGUGCCGCCACGCCUUCUUCCUCAGGCUGCGGCGCUGACCCGCACUCUGGUCCCGGUCCAGUCCCGGUCCAGGUCCCGGUCCCGGUCCCGGUCUGGUCCUGGUCCGGCUUGAAUCCAAGAAGUUUAGAAGCUCGCCAGAAACAGACGGAUCAGAAGUAUUCAUACCCCUGACAUAUUUCCUCUGAAGCUCAUGUUGUGGUUGGGGCUCCGACCCGGUUCCGACCCGGUUCCGACCCUUCCAGUUUAAACCUGUAGGGGCCCCGAGUUCUUUUAGCUCUGUGUUUUCCAUGUUUGACCAGCAGGUGGCGCCGUUUCCCCGAGUCACAAAUGAAUAACUUUUCAUUUGAUUAAAAUGAUAAAUAUAAUUUUCUCAUCCUGAUGACAUGAAUAAAUAAAAACUUCUAAAUCAA